rnacentral:sRNA from 1 species
AUAUCUCUCUGUACGGGAAGGAUGAGAAGCUUCGACUAAGGUUCGAUUCGAGCGAAAGCGAGAAAGCGUUGCCAACGGCAACGACCC